GGUCGCAUGGUCUAGCUGGUUAGGACGCCUGCCUGUCACGCAGGAGAUCGCGGGUUCGAUCCCCGCUGUGACCGC
rnacentral:tRNA from 1 species